CAGAAUGUCAUUGUCAAUUUCUUAAUAUGGCUGUUGUCAAACAUUCGUAUUGGUUUAUUGUUCUCAUUUAUUCAUUUACGUGUUUAAAUAUGAGUAAAACUAUUAAAAGUGGAGUUCGAGAGAUAUUGUUCUGCAUGAUAUCCAAAUUCCAAGAAAAAAAAGAAGCUGAAUUCUAACAAAAACAAGAUUGUGUGGUGUUGAAUUUCUUAUUAAAUCUGGAGGAUGUAGAAGGAGUCGAUGAAAUAGUGAGAACUAUUGGUAAGCUCACUGAUUUAGAGAAGAAACAUAGAAUAGAAUCCCAGAACCAGUACUUUAAAGAAAUCGCUUCCAUCACUGGUAAGAUUUUCAAUACAAGUGUAAUAUCAAUACACAGAAUUAAAAAAAAGGGACAAAAAAUCAAGGUGUCUGGAGUACACCUGGAAAAAAACGACCUCAUAAACCAACAGUGUCUCAUUUGGACAAUUUUGACAUGGAUGCUAUUUGCAACAAAAUAUUUCAUCUGGAAAAAGGUACAUAAUUAUACAAGCAGGGUCGGUGAAAGGUCCUGUGCUGAACUCAUUAUUAGUAUUUAGCACUAAAUCAAAAAUGGCUGAUUAUCACCAUGAUAUGAAUGCUGCCAACUUCAAUAAGUGGUUAGAAGAAAAGCCCAAUUUAAAUGAGCCAAGUGUAAUUGUUAUUGACAACGUCAGUUACCUUUCCGUUAUAGUAAAUAAAGCCCCUACGACACAGAAUCGGAAACAUGAGAUAAGAGAAUGGCUUACUUUGAAUAAUAUUCAAUUUGAAGAGUACCAUACGAAAGCAGAACUGCUGUCUAGUAAAACGGUAUAAACCAGAGCCAAUACAUGAUGCCGAUAAAAAUUUAAAGCACAAUGGUCAUGAGGUAUUAAGACUACCCCCAUACCAUUGUAUUAUAUGCAAAACGUAGCAAAUAAAAAUAAUUAAUUGACUACAGAGCAGUUAGAACAAGUGAUUAAAGAGUCAUUUGAAAAUGUAACAUCAGAAGAGUGAAAGAAAAUGACUGAUCGUGUUGUACAUGUGGAAAAUAAAUAUAAAGAAAGGGACAGGACUACAGAGGAACAUUUAGAAAGUUUCAUAAUCAAUGUGAGAGACAGUGAUAACAGCAAUGACUCUGAUGAAUCUAUCUAUGCAUAUUGAUUUUUUGGAUUCAGAUUUUGAUUUUUUCGAAUAAAGUUGUGUUUAUUUUUA